rnacentral:rRNA from 1 species
UGCCUUAGUAACUGCGAGUGAAGCGGCAAAAGCUCAAAUUUGAAAUCUGUGUCCUUGCGGGCACCGAGUUGUAACCUUGAGAUACGUUUUCGACCGACAGGCCUGCCUUAAGUCCCUUGGAACAGGGCGUCGCAGAGGGUGAGAAUCCCGUGAACGGUAGGCCUCGGGGCAAAUGAUACGUAUUCAACGAGUCGAGUUGUUUGGGAAUGCAGCUCAAAAUGGGUGGUAAAUUUCAUCUAAAGCUAAAUAUUGGGGAGAGACCGAUAGCGCACAAGUAGAGUGAUCGAAAGAUGAAAAGCACUUUGAAAAGAGAGUUAAAAAGUACGUGAAAUUGUUGAAAGGGAAGCGCUUGAGACCAGACUCAAUCUUUGUUGAUCAACCUCAGUUCUCUGUUGUGCACUCUUCAAUCUUUGGGACAGCAUCGGUUCUUGCGGAGGGACAAAGCCUCAGGAAAUGUGGCACCCUUCGGGGUGUGUUAUAGUCCUUUGGGUAAUGCCUGCAGCAGGGACCGAGGACCGCGCUCCGGCUAGGAUGCUGUCGUAAUGGUCUUCAGCGACCCGUCUUGAAACACGGACCAAGGAGUCUAACAUCUGUGCGAGUGUUCGGGUGGAAAACCCUUGCGCGUAAUGAAAGUGAAGGGAGGUGGGAAUCGUAAAGAUGCACCAUCGACCGAUCCUGAAGUAUUCCGAAGGAUUUGAGUAUGAGCAUAGCUGUUGGGACCCGAAAGAUGGUGAACUAUGCCUGAAUAGGGUGAAGCCAGGGGAAACUCUGGUGGAGGCUCGCAGCGGUUCUGACGUGCAAAUCGAUCGUCAAAUUUGGGUAUAGGGGCGAAAGACUAAUCGAACCAUCUAGUAGCUG